rnacentral:rRNA from 1 species
GCAGUCGAGCGACGGACGAGAAGCUUGCUUCUCUGAUGUUAGCGGCGGACGGGUGAGUAACACGUGGAUAACCUACCUAUAAGACUGGGAUAACUUCGGGAAACCGGAGCUAAUACCGGAUAAUAUUUUGAACCGCAUGGUUCAAAAGUGAAAGACGGUCUUGCUGUCACUUAUAGAUGGAUCCGCGCUGCAUUAGCUAGUUGGUAAGGUAACGGCUUACCAAGGCAACGAUGCAUAGCCGACCUGAGAGGGUGAUCGGCCACACUGGAACUGAGACACGGUCCAGACUCCUACGGGAGGCAGCAGUAGGGAAUCUUCCGCAAUGGGCGAAAGCCUGACGGAGCAACGCCGCGUGAGUGAUGAAGGUCUUCGGAUCGUAAAACUCUGUUAUUAGGGAAGAACAUAUGUGUAAGUAACUGUGCACAUCUUGACGGUACCUAAUCAGAAAGCCACGGCUAACUACGUGCCAGCAGCCGCGGUAAUACGUAGGUGGCAAGCGUUAUCCGGAAUUAUUGGGCGUAAAGCGCGCGUAGGCGGUUUUUUAAGUCUGAUGUGAAAGCCCACGGCUCAACCGUGGAGGGUCAUUGGAAACUGGAAAACUUGAGUGCAGAAGAGGAAAGUGGAAUUCCAUGUGUAGCGGUGAAAUGCGCAGAGAUAUGGAGGAACACCAGUGGCGAAGGCGACUUUCUGGUCUGUAACUGACGCUGAUGUGCGAAAGCGUGGGGAUCAAACAGGAUUAGAUACCCUGGUAGUCCACGCCGUAAACGAUGAGUGCUAAGUGUUAGGGGGUUUCCGCCCCUUAGUGCUGCAGCUAACGCAUUAAGCACUCCGCCUGGGGAGUACGACCGCAAGGUUGAAACUCAAAGGAAUUGACGGGGACCCGCACAAGCGGUGGAGCAUGUGGUUUAAUUCGAAGCAACGCGAAGAACCUUACCAAAUCUUGACAUCCUUUGACAACUCUAGAGAUAGAGCUUUCCCCUUCGGGGGACAAAGUGACAGGUGGUGCAUGGUUGUCGUCAGCUCGUGUCGUGAGAUGUUGGGUUAAGUCCCGCAACGAGCGCACCCUUAAGCUUAGUUGCCAUCAUUAAGUUGGGCACUCUAAGUUGACUGCCGUGACAACCGGAGAAAGGUGGGGAUGACGUCAAAUCAUCAUGCCCCUUAUGAUUUGGGCUACCACGUGCUACAUGGAAAUACAAGG